GUUUUGGGAAAUUAUACAGCUGAUGAUUGUUUUGGGAAAUUAUUAUGCGCUCACUGCAACCGCCGCCGUCAUGGUAACGUGAAAUUAGACACAACUGUAAAUUUUGACCGCUUUCCAAAAUUGAAAUUUCAAACAAACUUCGAGAGUUCGAGUUAUGGAAGAUCAACUGUAUAACCUUUCGACUGUUUUGGGGACCCCUACUUAUGUAUGAAAUAUGAACAACAAAAUGCAAUAAACAGAAAAUCAUUUCAGUAUGGUUAUUCAUUUUUGUAUAGUUUUGUCACUCUACGCAUAUUUGAAUUUAUGUAAUCGAAAAGAUUAUAGCACAGACAGAACUGCAUGAAUCUACAAAACCUAAAAUUUUCAAAUAUAGACACGCAACUAUUUUUUUUUUGUUCAUAUAAAGUAAAAGUAUAAUUUAUAUCAUUCUCUCGUCUUGUGUUUUCAUUUUGGUUGUAUAUCCAUGAACAACAUUUAGGCUAAAAUAAGCAAUAAUACAUUUGUAAGUACAAAAUUUUUACAUCAACUUAUUUGAUUUUUUCACACAAAUAAAUAUGUACCCACGUAUAAAUACAUACAUAUAUGCAUACAUUAUUUGGAAACACUCGUUAUUAUGAAACAUUUCAUAAAAUCAUUCAAUAGCUUACAUCUAUGUACGUAGUACUUACAUAUAUAUAAAUUAGCAAGAACAAAUAUCUGGUAAUUCGUUCGAUUUCAUUGAAACAAACUUCAUAGUUUUGUUACUACAAUAUACUGUACAUUUAAAAUAAAUAAAUUUAAGUUUUGAUUGUGCGAUGUAUGUAUGUAUUUGGUCUCAUUUUUCUUUGGUAUACACACACAUGUACAUGUUUACCAACUUUUUACGAGAUCUGUGAAAUUUGCUUAAAAUCUUUUAUUUGGCGGUAUAUAAUUAAAUACUUUUUUAGUAACUGCAGAAG